rnacentral:rRNA from 1 species
UGAGCAAUCUGCCCUUCUCUUCGGAAUAAGCGUUGGAAACGACGUCUAAUGCCGAAUACGACCUCCUUUCGCAUGAUCGGAGGUGGAAAGCUCCGGCGGAGAAGGAUGAGCUCGCGGCCUAUCAGCUAGUUGGUGUGGUAAUGGCCCACCAAGGCGACGACGGGUAGCCG